UCGAGAAUCAUUCGCAAUGGGCGAAAGCCUGACGAUGCGACGCCGUGUGAGCGAAGAAGGCCUUCGGGUUGUAAAGCUCUUUCGCCUGGGAACAAGAGAGAGUGUCUAAUAAACAUUUGAUUUGAGGGUACCAGGUAAAGAAGCACCGGCUAACUCCGUGCCAGCAGCUGCGGUAAUACGGAGGGUGCAAGCAUUAAUCGGAUUUAUUGGGCGUAAAGGGCGCGUAGGCUGAUAAGUAAGUCAGGUGUGAAAUCCUGGGGCUCAACCCCAGAACAGCACUUGAAACUGCUUUAUCUAGAGGGUAGAAGGAGAAAGCGGAAUUCCACAAGUAGCGGUGAAAUGCGUAGAUAUGUGGAAGAACACCGGUGGCGAAGGCGGCUUUCUAUUUUACUCCUGACGCUGAGGCGCGAAAGCAAGGGGAUCAAACAGGAUUAGAUACCCCCGUAGUCC
rnacentral:rRNA from 1 species